rnacentral:rRNA from 1 species
CACGUGGGGCGCAAGCGUUGUCCGGAAUUAUUGGGCGUAAAGAGCUUGUAGGCGGUUUGUCGCGUCUGCUGUGAAAAUCCGGGGCUCAACCCCGGACUUGCAGUGGGUACGGGCAGACUAGAGUGUGGUAGGGGAGACUGGAAUUCCUGGUGUAGCGGUGAAAUGCGCAGAUAUCAGGAGGAACACCGAUGGCGAAGGCAGGUCUCUGGGCCACUACUGACGCUGAGAAGCGAAAGCAUGGGGAGCGAACAGG